GACAGUUUAGCCGAGUGGUUCAAGGCGCUAGCUUUAGCCGGCAGCCCGGACGGGGUUCGAACCCCACAGCUGUCA